CAUGUGAUCAUGACCUGUGCCGUAGUUGGACAUCCAACCAACUAAGCCACCCAGAUGCCCCUAUUUUUUAUUUUCCAUACCAUUUGUUAAAACUAUUUUUUUUUCCUCUAUAACAUAGUAUGUUAGGUAAUUAUUUAGGCAGUUUGUUCUGUUUUGUCAGAACAAUAAUUUCCAUUUUCAAUAAUUUCCAAUAAUUUGCAUUAUGGAUUGUUUAAAUUGGAUUUAUAUUUAUGUUUAACUAGUAUGUGAGCAAACUGUGAGACAAAUUCUUCUCAGAUAUUCUAGACUAUUAUAUCAUCCAUGUUGCUAAUUCAAUUCUUCAAUACAUUUUGGUCACUUAGUAAGUUAAUAAUUAAAAUUGAGCGUUAUUUUCUCUGUGUUAGACCUUGUGCUACAUUUCCGUGCUUUAUCUCAUUUGAUUUUCAUAGUUAAAAAAUUAUCCUGUAACAAUAAUAAGCCUGUAAGUGUUCCCCAUUUAUAGAGAAGAAACUGAGGCAAAUUGAGGUUAAACAAUUUGUCUGCAUCACAGGCUCCUAGGUUGUGGACCCAGAGAUGGACUGAGACAGUGUGGCUUGAAGAUUGUUCUCUGCACUCUUCCCUGUACCACAUGUACAAAUGGAGGAAUCAAAGAGACCAAGAGAGACAGAGCACGAGCAGGGGAGGGCAGACAGAAAGGAAACACAGAAUCCAAAGUAAGCUCCAGGCUCUGAGCUUGUCUGCACAUCACAAGCCCCUGAUACUGGGUUUGAACUCAUGAACCCCAAGAUCAUGACCUGAGCUGAAGUCGGACACUCAACCGACUGAGCCACCCAGACGCCCCAGUCUUGAGAAUUUUCCAUAUAUAAAAUCAUAUAAUCUGAAAGGAUAUUUUUGCUGCUUCUUUGUCAAUUUGGUUACCUUGUAUUUCUUUUUCCUGCCUUAUGGAUCUUGCUAGGAUUUCAAGUAUUAUGUUGAAUAGAAGUGGUGAGAGUGAAAAUGUUUUGCUUUCUUGCUGAUCUUAGAGGAGAAGCUCUCAGUUUGACACAGUUGACACAGUAUAAUAUGAGCUGUGGGCUUUCUAUAUAUGGUCUUUAUUAUGUUGAGGUAAUUUCUUCUACUCCUAAUUUAUUGAGAGUUUUUAUCAUGAAAGGUGUUUGAAUUUUGUCAAAUGCUUUUUGUGCAUCUAAUUGAGAUGAUCUUAUGAGUUUUAUCCUUCAUUCUGUUAAUAUGGUGCAUCUCAUUAAUUGAUUUUUGUAUGUUAAAAUAUUAUUGUAUCCUAGGGAUGAAUUCCACUUGGUUAUGGUGUAUAUCCUUCCAAUAUGCUUUGAAUUCAGUAUAUUAACAUUUCAUUGAGUAUUUUUUUGCAUCUAUAUCCAUCGGGGACACCGGCCUAUAGUUUUCAUUUUUUGUGGUAUUUUUGGCUUUGGUAUCAGGGUAAUGGUGUCCUCACAAAAUGAAAUUGGACGUCUUCUCUCCUCUUCAAAUUUUUGGAAGAAUUUGACAAGGAUUGGCAUUAAUUUUUUUAAAAAUGUUUGGUAGAAUUUACUACUGAAGCCUUCAGUCCUAAACUUUUCCUGGACCUCUUUGGAAGAUUUUUGUUUACUGAUUCAGUAUCCUUCCCCAUUAUAGAUCUACACAGACUUUCUAUUUAUUCUAUUCAGUUUUGGUAUGCUGUCUGUUUCUAGGAAUUUACCCAUUUCUUCUAAGUUAUCCAAUUUGUUGGUGAGUUUAUAGUUGUCUUAUAGUAUUUAUUUCUGUGGCAUCAGAAAUAUUUGAUCCUUUUCUCUUUUUAUCUCAGUUGGUCUAGCUAGGGUUUCCAAUUUUGUUUAUCUUUCCAGAAAACUAACUCUUAGUUUUGUUGAUUUUUUUUUUCUAGUGAUUUUAUCUCCCUUAUUUCUGGCUGAGUAUUUUUCUUUUUAAAUAUUUCAUAUAACUUUUUGGGUACAAAACUCAUGAAUUAAAGAAUGAAUACCACCUGUUUCUAAAUGCAUUGUGUUAAUUAUUGCUUUUACAAUUUAUAAGAAUAAAUUCUAGUGGCAAAUGAUUGCCUUUCAUCCUAAUCCAGCAUAGGAUAAAAUUUAUAUUUUGUAGAAAUAUGUAAAUUUUAGAAAGUUCAAUGAUAAAUUUUGACUUUCUACAAAAGGAAGAAGGAUAGAGUAUCUUUGAAUAUUAGUUCCUGUUAUUCCUAUCUUUUAAUUAUAUAAUAUAUACUAAAAAUGCAAUAACGUAUUUUCAUAUUGCAUAUCUUUUAGAAAGUAUAUAAAGAUCACCAAACAUGCAUGAUUAAAAAAAAAAACUAUUACUCAAGAUAACAUAUGACUUUCAUGCCUAUAUCCUUUUACGGCUUUGAAGACUGCUCUUAAGAACAUCCUCUCAUUUGAAUCACACAGUUAAUGUUUGAUGGAUUGAGCAGGUAUCAUUAUCCCUCUGUUUUAGAUUAUUAAUCUGACUCAAAAAAUUAAAAAAUAUAUUUAUUUUCGAUGUCACACAGCUAGUAAUUGAUGGAUCCAGAGUUUUAAACCUGUUUCUUGACUCUGUUUAUAUGAAGAUUAUUUUAAUGUGUCCACAGACACCUCACAGUGUAUUUAUUUUGAAAGCAUUAAUAAAAUUUGUUGUGUAAAGAUAAUGUUUGUACUUCUAUAGAUCUUGAACUAUCAGAAGCUAUCUUGAGAAAUUCAAUUCGAAAAUAUACAUUGCUACUUAUGUGCUUGACAUUUUGUAUGUAGAUGAAAAUUAGCAUCAGUCUCAAGAGCACGCAGUAGUAGAGACAGGUAAAUGUAUCAUACAGUACGAUGUAGAGAUAUAGCCAGUAAUUAGGGAGUAUACAAGAAACCCAGAAAAGGGGGGAGAAUUCAUCUGUUCUUAGGUCGAACUGGCUUUCUGAAAUGGAAUUUGAAAGACCUCAUUUCCUCUUACAUGUAAUGCAAAAAGAGCAAGUUGCUCAGCUUGGUGAAAUGAAAACCAAGAGAAAUUCAGCUAGUAGAAACAUUUUUACUUGGUUUUCAUUCCAAUUAGCUCCUUUUUUUAAUAGCCACUACAUUGGUUGGUAAUAAAAUGGGCCAUCCAUUAUCUAAGAGAGAAACCAAUCCUAUUGAUUCUGUCUCUGACACAUUCUUACAUCAGUACACUUUUCUCUUUCCUAUGGCCAUAUCAUUUCUCAGCCAAACCAUUGCAAAGAUUUGUUAGAUGGUUUCCUAUGUGUUAACACCAGAAUAAUCUUUCUAAAAUAUAAAUCUGGUCUGGCACCAUGUGGCUAAAAACACUUCAGUGGAUUACCAAGACUUCCUGGAUAAAUGCCAACUUGGUCUUUAUAAUAAAAUCAGUAAAUUUUUCUUAAUGUUAAAUUUAGAAAAGUGCUAGUUAUUUGGGAGCAGGAAGUGAGGUGCAGGUUUGGGGGAGUACACUAGAAUUUAAGUUAACUUACCAGCCUUGUUUAGCCCCUUAUCCCCCCCACCUAGCACAGUACAAGACACUUGAUAGUUACUGAAUAUGGUGAUAUAAUUGUACAAACAUGAUAAUUUAUAUACUAGUAUUUAUAAAAAUAUGUAAUAGUAACUCUUAUUUAUUGGAUGCAAAUUAUCAUGCUAGUUGCUUUACAUUAGCAUUUUCAUUAUCUUUAAAUAUUUACAUUAUCUCUAAUCGAUAAAUUUAUAUUAUCCUUACUCUCUAGAAUGUUGCCAGAGGAUAUUAUUGUCUUUUUUU